AUUGAACGCUGGCGGCAGGCCUAACACAUGCAAGUCGAGCGAGCGGCGGACGGGUGAGUAAUGUCUGGGAAACUGCCUGAUGGAGGGGGAUAACUACUGGAAACGUUAGCUAAAACCGCAUACCAUCAGAGUGGCCCAGAUGGGAUGAGCUAGUAGGUGGGGUAAUGGCUCACCUAGGCGACGAUCCCAAGCUGGUCUGGGAGGAUGACCAGCCACACUGGAACUGAGACACGGGCCAGACUCCGACGGGAGGCAGCAGUGGGGAAUAUUGCACAAUGGGCGCAAGCCUGAUGCAGCCAUGCCGCGUGUGUGAAGAAGGCCUUCGGGUUGUAAAGCACUUUCAGCGGGGAGGCGUUACCCGCAGAAGAAGCACCGGCUAACUCCGUGCCAGCCGCCGCGGUAAUUC
rnacentral:rRNA from 1 species